rnacentral:rRNA from 1 species
UGGGGAAUAUUGCGCAAUGGGCGAAAGCCUGACGCAGCGACGCCGCGUGAGGGAUGAAGGCCUUCGGGUUGUAAACCUCUUUCAGCAGGGACGAAUUCAGACGGUACCUGCAGAAGAAGCACCGGCCAACUACGUGCCAGCAGCCGAGGUAAUACGUAGGGUGCAAGCGUUGUCCGGAAUUAUUGGGCGUAAAGAGCUCGUAGGCGGUCUGUCGCGUCGGCUGUGAAAACUCGGGGCUCAACCCCGAGCCUGCAGUCGAUACGGGCAGACUAGAGUGCGGUAGGGGAGACUGGAAUUCCUGGUGUAGCGGUGAAAUGCGCAGAUAUCAGGAGGAACACCGGUGGCGAAGGCGGGUCUCUGGGCCGUAUCUGACGCUCAGGCGCGACAGCGUGGGGAUCAAAC